rnacentral:rRNA from 1 species
UACGGAAGGGGCAAGCGUUGUCCGGAAUCACUGGGCGUAAAGCGCGCGCAGGCGGCGAUCUACGUCUGGGGUGAAAGCCCGGAGCUCAACUCCGGGACUGCCUUGGAUACGGGAUCGCUUGAGGAUUGGAGAGGCAAGGGGAAUUCCACGUGUAGCGGUGAAAUGCGUAGAUAUGUGGAGGAACACCUGUGGCGAAGGCGCCUUGCUGGCCAAUUUCUGACGCUGAGGCGCGAAAGCGUGGGGAGCAAACAGG